UCAGCUCUGGGACUUCAUGUUUGUAUCUGUGUGUGUGUGUGUGUGUGUGUGUUUGUGUGUGUGUGUGUGUGUGUGUGUGUGUGUGUUUACCUAAAACAUACACUCUGGAUAGACAGAUUUUAAACGUUUUUUGUGUGAGCACAUGAACGUAUCACAGAAUGGAUAAUCUGUAAAGUGUGUGUGUGUGUGUGUGUGUGUGUGACAGGUGUCAUGGAGGAGAUCUCCAGUUAUCACCCUCUAAUACCAUCUCUGCUCUUCACACACAAACACACACUUCAGUGAGGACAUUUGAAGUUUUUAAUUUGACGAACAGAUGAUGAGUUUGAUAAAAAAAAAUUCAUUCCUUAAUAUUAAAUUCAUGACUUAAAUAAUAAGGUGGAGCAUUAUUAAUCUUUCCUGUACGACAGCAUAUUAAGACCACUAUAAAGAGAAUAUGUGAAUUAAAGCUCCUGUGAGUUUUUCGAAAUUUUUAAAAUAGACUAAAAUUCAUAUUUAUCCUUUUUUAACGGUAUCUAAAUGUAAACAAAACCAUCAGUAACAUGAUAUCUAUAUUAGGAUUUUUUAAAUGGGGGUAGGUGUCGGCAGAGCAGCUUAAUAAACAGCCCUGAUUUUGUGAUUUCCAUAUAAAAUAUUUACAAAGUCAGCAGGAUGCAGUUUUGGUCAAAAUAACCGCUUUGUUCACACGAGGGCACAUUUCGGCUGCUUGUAACCGCAAUCUUGUUCUUUCGGUCAUUACCCAAAGUUCAUGGCCAUAGGUGAGGUUCGUCACGUAGAUCGACCGGUAAAUCGAGAGUCUCACCUUACGGCUCAGCUCUUUCUUCACCACAACUGAUCGGUUCAGCGUCCGCAUCACUGCUGACGCCGCUCCGAUCCGCCUGUCGAUCUCCCGUUCCAUCCUGCCCUCAAUCGUGAACAAGAUCCCGAGAUACUUGAACUCCUCCACUUGAGGCAGGACCAACCCUUCAACCUGGAGAAAGCAAUCUACCUUUUUCCAGCUGAGGACCAUGGCCUCGGACUUGGAGGUGCUGAUUUGCAUCACAUUACAAAGGCAUUAAUAUGAAUUUUUGGUACUUUCAUGAGUGAUGAAAAACUCCACACAGGAGCUUUAAAAUCAUCAUAUUAUGAGAGCAAACUGAUAGUUUUGAUUUACGAUGAGUGUGGAGCGUCUCUUUAAAUUGUCUCUAAUCUUCUGGCCCUUCAGCUCCAUGUUGUUACGAGUAUCAGGACUCUGAAAAGUCUGACCAAAAAGCUGAGAAAUGUGGUCCCCCCUUAAAAACAACAUCCAACUUCUCUUUGGUUCCUAAAAUCCGAGUCCGUUCACUCCAGGUGGGGUCUAGGUGAAGGUUGAUGCAGCAGCUGUUACACCUGUGUGGCAGCAGGUUGUGGACAGGUCCCUCAGUCAGUCACAGCUGCAGAUAAUCCCAUCUGUCCUGCAGGGCCGUGACGAUGACUGACAGGAGGAGGAUAGCGUCAGUCAUCCCGCACUGUCUCCGUCUGAUGAUGUCAGCGGACUGCCUAGCACCUCGCUGAUGCAGACGAUAUGAGACAAUGGGGGGGUGAAAAGUGUUGCUGCUGCUUCAUGGGGAAAAAAAAAAGAGGGAAAAUUAUUUAAGUCAAGAUUUAAGUGUCAUACGUCCCGCCCCCCUGGCUGCAUGAGUCUAUCUAUCUAUCUAUCUAUCUAUCUAUCUAUCUAUCUAUCUAUCUAUCUAUCUAUCUAUCUAUCUAUCUAUCUAUCUAUCUAUCUAUCUAUCUAUCUAUCUAUCUAUCUAUCUAUCUAUCUAUCUAUCUAUCUAUCUAUCUGAUUCAGAACCAUCAAAGUACAGUACUUUGCUCAAAAAACACAUAAGUCUACAGUUCUCUCAAGUCUUGGCUAUCAGGAGAAAAAAUAUUGGGAUUCUAACAAACACACAGCAAAAACUAUUUACAUAUUCACACUAAUUCUUCCAGGCGUUUUUUGUUAUUUAAAGUUGUUUUUACCACUUAUUGAAGCAGUUCUUGUCUGGGAUGAGACAGAGGGUCACAAGCAGGGAACUUUCUUGUCUCUUGUUGAUCUUUGGUUGCCUCUUAUUGGACACUACUGUCAGGGGAACAAUAGAAGAAGAAUAUGAGAAUUGGUCAUAUUGAUCGAAAGUUUGACAGAAAAAGAUGUCAUCAAAACAGCUCGUCAAACCCGGAAGACAUGAACUGCAUUUAGCGAUAGCGAUCUUUUUUUAUCACAACAAUAUGAUAAAUAAUCGUGUUUUCACCGGUAUAUCACUGCGGAUUUACCAUCAAACGUCUCCGAUCAAAGACCUAUUUUUGCGGCUGGAUUGUAAACUUUGUGGCAGGUGUCGAAAUACCAGGAAACCCUCGAUAGAUCGCUAAACGGGUAAACUUUUAAACACUUUUCAUCCCGUAGAGAUACACAGUAUAGUUCCUGAGAAACUGUAAACAAUAUUGGUGUCACGUGGGAUCGCCUGCGUGUUAAAUGUAAUGAAAAAAUGAUCACUUGCGUAAAUGCAGCUUCUAAUCAGGUCACAAAAACAAUCUGACUUCUAAUUGGGCCUUUACAGGUCAGAUGAUCACAUAAACAACCUCUGAUUGGUUGACAGUUCAAAACAAUACAGCAGCCUCUCUCUAGCCUAAAAUUCAUUCAUAAAUCAUCACAGAGAACCUUUGUUUUUUAAGGACGAGGGUUAGGGUUAGUUUACAGUUCACUGCCGGUCUCACAGGUCGAGUGGAUUUUACAGUAAUUUGCUGCAUCGUACCAUUUUAUUUUAGGGUUGAUAUUGUGAACACAACAAUAUUCAACUGUAGAGUUAUAUAUACACAUAUAUAUGUAUUACUUAAGAGUUUUUCUGGUGUAUUUAAAGGAGGAAACUCGUCUUAUAUUGGUAUAUAAACAUUAAAGCACAUUUUGGGUCACGAUGAAUCAUUUUUAAAGGUCAUGCAAAUGCUCUUUUUUCUUAAUAUUUUCCAUUAACUCUUACAUGACUGUGUUUGUCCUACAUCAACAGUUUAAAUAUGCAUAUUUAACUUUAAUCCAUCAACAUAUUAUUGUAUUUCGACGUCUUUUUGUCAUUUAAUGUAAGCAGAUUGUCGUGAUGUUUGACGACUUUAACUAACGAUGAGACUCACUGAUGAUUGUUGCUGAAUGAAGCUUUUUUAAACCGUCCGGUGGAAUUUUCUGGUGUGUGUUCGUUCCCGCUCAUGAGCUCGCCCUGUUUGUACAGUUCUGUGUGUUUUCACUGAGAGUGUGAGUGUGUGUGGCGUGUGGCCCGUGUGUGUGUUCUGGUUGGGCGACCGUCACAGGCUCAUGAACUGGCUGUGAUCCAUGCUGGUGUGUACAGUAUGUUUACACAUGCUACAUACAGUGUGCAUCUGUGUGUGUGUGUGUGUGUGUGUGUGUGUGUGUUUGUGUAAAUGUGUGUGUGCGCGUUCGCUGUGACCCAUAAUGUUUCUUUUUCCUCCAGUAAAACAGGAGAGCUGAAGCGAGGCCCAGCUCCUCUGACGGGGUGGCCGAGGGUCCCGCUGGGCCUGUGGCUCCUGUUCCAGAUCUGUGGAGGUGCAGCAUCCAUGGUGUUUGUGUAGGUUUGUGUAUGUGUGUGUGUGUGUGUUUGUGUAGAUCUCACUGAUUAGCCUGACCAGCAGCUUAUUGAUGCACUGGUUAAUGAUGUUUCCAAUGACAUGGACAGAUGAGGAAGAGGAGGAGGAGACAGUUCAUGAGGGUAAAAUCUCUCAGAGAAGAGGAGAAACAGACGCACACACAGGUUUUAUUAAAGAAAGUGAAAAUCUUCGUUUUUCUGUGUGAAAACCAUCGAAGGUGAGACGGUGAAUUUUAUUAAAAGUGCAUUUUAAACCUGCAUCACUACAGUAAAAAUCUCUUUUUUAUGGUCAAAACAGAAUUAAUGAAUGGUUUCACACAUUUUAAAGUGUAUUAAUGUUAAAAAGCAGAUCUUGUCCUUUUUAGAAGAAAUAAAACUCACACAACUGCGUUAAAAAAUUAUACUUUCCUUACAAAAGAUCUUUGCUUUUCCACUGUUGAUAAUGAGGGCAUGUAAGUGAAACUGAGUAACAUUUUUACUGUAAAUUAUUACCAGAAUUUGUUUCAAUAUUUCACAAUAAAUGACCGUGUCAUCUCUGUAAGGCUCUAACUUCAGUUAGAGCCUUCGACAGUCAAACAAAGUGGUGUACAUGGGAUAAAUAGAAGAAGUAAAUAAAUAGAUGACAAUAAAAAGUAAAAUUUAAAACAGUAGAAUAAAAAACAGACAAAAGUGGUGAAUCUGUAACUUACUGUAACUAUUAAUAUUACGAUGACAACAUACAUUUACAUAAACAUUUUUACUGGGAAAGGGUAAAAAGUCAAAUGUUAAUAAACUUUAAAUUUCAGCAUAAAUGAUCUAAAUGAAAUAACGUUAAUAAAGGUUUUUAAAAAUGUACCCACCCCAUUUCAUAAUACUGAUAUACAAAAUACAAUCUAUAUAUUUUUUAAAUGAAAAUCAACAUCUAAAAGGUCCUGUAAAUGUCCGACUCAGUUUUAUCAGUGACUUUUUUUUUUCGUUUUUCACCUUUCAUGAUUUUUCGCUCAAUAACCUUGUUAUUUAUUCCACUUUGACUUAAUUUCAGCACAAUUUUGCCUCUGUCUGAAACAUUUCUCUUUGGCAUCUUUUAGUGUCUGUGGGUGUUACUUUUUACACAGCUGUGAAGCUCCAUCUUUAAAUAAAGAGUCUGAGGUUAGCCGCUAGCACCCGCUGAGUUUUAUAUUUAUCCACAUUAGCAUUCGGCGGCUGUUAUUACAUCACAAAACAAGCAAUUCAGCAAAACCUGGCGAAGCAUAUGGAAAUGACGCUUCCAUCAGUAUAUCGCAUGUUGUUUAACUUUGCUGCAGUUCAGUUUAGUCAUCCAACGGUUUAACACUAUGUGUAUUUAUAUGUUUAAGUUCAUAACAGUUCCAACUAAGAAACUGGUGACAAAGAAAUCAGCAAAAAUGUAGGAUCUUUUCUCUAACACAGCUAAACACCAGCUCACAAAGUCAUAAAUAAUAACACCGGCCUUAGGUAAAAGUUUACUUUAAUACUUGAUUAAAAUACUAGAUUUAUCGUGUAGUAGAUGCACAUAUCCUUAGUUUUGAUGGCGAUUCAAUAUUCAUAACAAGUUAUCACAAGUAAUGCUGGCUUAGGUGGAGUAAAAGAAACAACUUAAUUAACGUGGGAUGUUGAAUUUUGCACAAGUAUAAAUACUGUUGUUUUAGACUGUAUAUGUAGAUAAAAACAUAUGUAGUUAUCACUGAAAUAUAAGCUGCUCAGUUGAAGUUUAUUAAAGUCACACCUCAGGUUUCGAGUCUUUCCACUUGUCUCUCAAAAAUCCAAACUAAGGCUGAGAGACUUUCCUGCUGCUGAAUAUAAAUUUUCAGCCUGAUAUAAAUUUAAACAUCCUGAUCCAGUUGAGUAAAGGACAGUAAAUUUUUUAUCAAGACGGCACAGCAUAAUAAAACGAUCCAUUAAAGGGAUAUUCCGUCUGUUUGUGUUCAGCAUGUUUACAGUUAGGAGACUGCUGUCUUUGAUUUCAUGUUACCUCUCAUUGUGUAACUCCUCAUGGACAUUAUAAUCCACAGCUCGGAGUGUGUUUACAUGUUUGUGUCUUGUAUCAGUGACUACGUGUGUGUUUAUUCAUGUAUGCAGCCCCGUGUGUGUGUCUGUGAGUGUGUGUGUGUUGGUGUACGGUCCCUGUGCGGCUGUUCCCCUGCUGUAGACGCCUGUUCUGGCGAUAGCAUUGUCUCCAUGUCCAAAGACCUGCCGGCUGCCCUAUUCCACCACGUCUUUAUCAUGCUAAUACAGAGGAAAGGAGGGAGGAGAGGAGGAGGAGGGAAGGAUAGCUCAACAAACAGAGGAAGAGGAGUAAUCUUUCCCCUCCUCUCUUCAUUCUCACCACCUCCUCCUCCUCCUCCUCCGUCCUCUCUCCUUCCCUUUCUUCUCGUCCUCCCUCCCUCUUCAUCUGCUGCUUUCUUAUCUUCCUCCCGUACUUCUUUGAUAAUCCCUCCCAACAUUGUCUUCAUAAUUACACACAACAAUGAUUCUCAUCCGCGCAAGAGAAAUGUGCGCCGUGCAUGGAGAAUAUUUCAUAGAUGAAGACCAGAAUGUGAAUUAAUAACUUGCUUCUCUAAUAUAUAAGGCUGUGUCUGUGCUCUGUGUGUGUGCGUGUGCGCGUGUGUGUGUGAGUGUGUGUCAGAGGGGGGAGCAGUGUUGUUUUAACACGACUGUUACAUUAUGCAUGCUGACAGGCCUGCCUGUCCCCAUUAAAGGCCCAUCUUGUUUCCCCAUUAUAUCUGCUUUCUCAGUUAAUAGAGCUCUUUGUGUGGCACUUCCCUUUAUUCUCCGGCUGUUACAACAGAAAGGUCAGCGCCCGCACAACCUGACACACUGACGCUGCGGCUCCCAGAGACCCGGAGUGACGACAACUGUGCGGACCUUUUAUUACAGCUCUGCCUUCAAGAGGCGGCGCAGUACGUCACUUCUCUUACGUCGACGACUUCUUACUCAGACGUUUUAAAUCAGACGGAGAAGUUAGGAAGAGAAAUGUUCGCUGUGUUGACAUGGACCACUGUCAGAGUAAACUGGUGUGAUCAGGCCCUUUAGGACAGGAAGUUCAUCCUAAUCCUGAGGGGGUGAUAAAACUGUUUCGAACUAUCUUCUUUUAGCUUGAACCCUGAGCUCUUGAUCGCUGAUAUUUCCUAAACUAAAUGAUUAUUUUCUUCCUGUAAUACAAGGGUGACAUCCCCUUUUGGGGAGCUGUCCGGCCUGUGGAGUUUUUUUUUAAUCCUUCAAAUGUCCAGGGUUUUGUAUGGGAGCCUGUUUCUGCAAGUGGGGGAAAAAACAAUGAGAUAAAAUGUCGUCUAUUAUUUUUUUUAAUUUUUGGGAAUUAAGAACAUGCGCGUAAAAAACACUCAACCCAGAAAAACCCUCGAAAUUUUG